GGCAAGUCUGGUGCCAGCAGCCGCGGUAAUUCCAGCUCCAAUAGCGUAUAUUAAAAUUGUUGCAGUUAAAAAGCUCGUAGUUGAAUUUCUGCUGCAUUACAUAUCUCUUGUUUGAGUUUGUUUUUGUGGCUUAUUUCGGUUUGAUUUUUUCUUUCCGGAUGAUUACUUUGAGAAAAUUAGAGUGCUCAAAGCAGGCUUUUGCCUUGAAUAGUUUAGCAUGGAAUAAUAAAGUAGGACUUUGGUUCUAUUUUGUUGGUUUUAGGUACCAAAGUAAUGGUUAAUAGGAACAGUUGGGGGCAUUCGUAUUUAACUGUCAGAGGUGAAAUUCUUAGAUUUGUUAAAGACGAACUACUGCGAAAGCAUUUGCCAAGGAUGUUUUCAUUAAUCAAGAACGAAAGUUAGGGGAUC
rnacentral:rRNA from 1 species